rnacentral:rRNA from 1 species
UACGGAGGAUGCGAGCGUUAUCCGGAUUUAUUGGGUUUAAAGGGUGCGCAGGCGGUCUGUUAAGUCAGCGGUCAAAGCCCGGGGCUCAACCCCGGCCCGCCGUUGAAACUGGCAGUCUCGAGUUGGAGAGAAGUAUGCGGAAUGCGUGGUGUAGCGGUGAAAUGCAUAGAUAUCACGCAGAACUCCGAUUGCGAAGGCAGCGCACCGGCGCCCUACUGACGCUCAGGCACGAAAGCGUGGGGAUCAAACAGG